UGAGGAAUAUUGCACAAUGGGCGCCAGCCUGAUGCAGCAACGCCGCGUGCGGGACGAAGGCCUUCGGGUCGUAAACCGCUUUUCUGGGGAAAGAGCAAGGACGGUACCUCAGGAAUAAGUCUCGGCUAACUACGUGCCAGCAGCCGCGGUAAAACGUAGGAGGCGAGCGUUAUCCGGAUUUACUGGGCGUAAAGCGCACGCAGGCGGCUCCGUGAGUCGGACGUGAAAGCUCUCGGCUUAACCGGGAGAGGCCGUUCGAUACUGCGGGGCUUGAGGUAGGGAGAGGAAUGCGGAAUUCCCGGUGUAGUGGUGGAAUGCGUAGAUAUCGGGAGGAACACCUGUGGCGAAAGCGGCAUUCUGGCCCUCACCUGACGCUGAGGUGCGAAAGCGUGGGUAGCAAACAG
rnacentral:rRNA from 1 species